rnacentral:rRNA from 1 species
GAACGAACGCUGGCGGCAUGCCUAACACAUGCAAGUCGAACGAACCCUUCGGGUUAGUGGCGCACGGGUGCGUAACGCGUGGGAAUCUGCCCUUCGGUUCGGAAUAACAGUUAGAAAUGACUGCUAAUACCGGAUAAUGACGUAAGUCCAAAGAUUUAUCGCCGAAGGAUGAGCCCGCGUAGGAUUAGCUAGUUGGUGAGGUAAAAGCUCACCAAGGCGACGAUCCUUAGCUGGUCNGAGAGGAUGAUCA